rnacentral:rRNA from 1 species
GUAGGGGGCUAGCGUUGUCCGGAAUCACUGGGCGUAAAGGGUUCGCAGGCGGAAUAACAAGUCAGAUGUGAAAGGCAUGGGCUCAACCCAUGUAAGCAUUUGAAACUGUAAUUCUUGAGAAGUGGAGAGGUAAGUGGAAUUCCUAGUGUAGCGGUGAAAUGCGUAGAUAUUAGGAGGAAUACCUGUGGCGAAGGCGACUUACUGGACACAAAUCUGACGCUGAGGAACGAAAGCGUGGGUAGCAAACAGGGAUUAGAUACCCUGGUAGUCCACGCCGUAAACGAUGAGUGCUAGGUGUCGGGGGGAGACCUCGGGUGCCCGGCGUUAACACAAUAAGCACUCCGCCUGGGGGUAGUACGUGCGCAAGCAUG